rnacentral:rRNA from 1 species
AUACGGAGGAUGCAAGCGUUAUCCGGAUUUAUUGGGUUUAAAGGGUGCGUAGGCGGAUGAUUAAGCGUGAGGUGAAAUGCCACUGCUCAACAGUGGAACUGCCUCGCGAACUGGUUGUCUUGAAUGCUCCUGCCGUGGGAGGAAUGUGUGGUGUAGCGGUGAAAUGCAUAGAGAUCACACAGAACACCGAUUGCGAAGGCAUCUCACGAAGGGGUGAUUGACGCUGAGGCACGAAAGCGUGGGGAUCAAACAGGAGUAGAUACCCUGGUAGUCCACGCAGUAAACGAUGAUAACUAACCGCUGGGUCGUAGUGAUUCAGUGGCCAAGCGAAAGCGAUAAGUUAUCCACCUGGGGAGUACGACCGCAAGGUUGAAACUCAAAGGAAUUGACGGGG